rnacentral:rRNA from 1 species
UACGUAGGGUGCGAGCGUUAAUCGGAAUUACUGGGCGUAAAGCGUGCGCAGGCGGUUAUGUAAGACAGGUGGGAAAUCCCCGGGCUUAACCUGGGAACUGCAUUUGUGACUGCAUAGCUAGAGUACGGUAGAGGGGGAUGGAAUUCCGCGUGUAGCAGUGAAAUGCGUAGAUAUGCGGAGGAACACCGAUGGCGAAGGCAAUCCCCUGGACCUGUACUGACGCUCAUGCACGAAAGCGUGGGGAGCAAACAGG